AGUGAACGCUGGCGGCGUGCCUAAUACAUGCAAGUCGAACGGAGUGGCGCACGGGUGAGUAAUAUAUAGCUAAUCUGCCCCUUGCUGGAGGACAACAGUUAGAAAUGACUGCUAAUACUCCAUAGCAAGGGAUGAGACUAUAUCGUAUCAGCUAGUCGGUGGGGUAACGGCCUACCGAGGGUGUGACGCGUAACUGGUCUGAGAGGAUGAUCAGUCACAUGUGAAAUGAGACACUGUCCAAACUCCUACGGGAUGCAGCAGAAGGGGAUAUUGCUCAAGGGGGGAAACCAUGAAGGAGCAACGCCGCGUGGAAGAUGAAACUUGUCGGAGCGUAAAAUCAUUUGGUUAGGGACGCGGUACCUAACGAAUAAGCAACGGCUAACUCCGUGCCAGCAGCCGCGGUAAUAC
rnacentral:rRNA from 1 species